rnacentral:rRNA from 1 species
UGGGGAAUUUUUCGCAAUGGGCGCAAGCCUGACGAAGCAACGCCGCGUGGAGGAUGAAGGUCUUCGGAUUGUAAACUCCUGUCGACCGGGACGAAUGCACCCGACCUAAUACGUCGAAGUGUUGACGGUACCGGUGGAGGAAGCCACGGCUAACUCUGUGCCAGCAGCCGCGGUAAUACAGAGGUGGCAAGCGUUGUUCGGAAUUACUGGGCGUAAAGGGCGCGUAGGCGGCCUUAUAAGUCUCGUGUGAAAGCCCUCGGCUUAACUGAGGAUCUGCACGGGAUACUGUAGGGCUCGAGUUCGGGAGAGGAAAGCGGAAUUCCGGGUGUAGCGGUGAAAUGCGUAGAUAUCCGGAGGAACACCAGUGGCGAAGGCGACCACCUGGACUGAUACUGACACUGAGGUGCGAAAGCGUGGGGAGCAAACAGGAUUAGAUACCCCCGUAGUCCCUGAGCGGGCUGGCAAGGCGCAU